UGCCGCCGGACUUCCGGCCGCCCGCACUUCCGCUGCUCCUGCCUCAGGGCGGAAGGAAGGACGUCGGGGGGCAGGUCGUGCUCCUCUUUCCUCUUCCUUUGGGAAGGCGAUGGUGUUCACGAUUUUUUACUAAUUCAUGUUUCUCUGCAUGUGCAUCAAUUGAUGCUUUUAUUUUUAUCGAUACAGUAGUUUUAAAAUUAAUUUAAUCCAGGAGGACUUUCUUUGAGAAAGAGCUUGAUGGAGGUGAGGGUGAUGGAAAUGAGGAAAGAGAAAAAUGCAUCUUACAAAUCCACAGUCGUGCAGCACAGCAAUAUGCCACGAUAUCUAUGGGACAGCAUGCCAGCUUCCUUCACUGAAGGGUUUUCUGGAGAUUAAGAUCCUGACAGAUUGCUCUUCAAAAUGAUUGCAACAAUUCAGAUGCCCACAAGCAUGUGACGAGAACUUUUUCCGCUAGACACUUUUAACAACAUUUGUUAUUGUCAACAUUUUGUUUUUACCAAUCGGAUGGAUGUAAAAUAAUGCCUUGUUUUAAUUUGCAUUUUAUGGCUUGCUAUUAACAUCAACAUCUGUUCACAUGUUUAUUAGCCAUUUGGGUUUUCACUUCUGUGAAAUGUUUGCUAAUGUCCUUUAUCUUCUUCAAUUGAAAUGCUUGCCUUUUUCUUAUUGCAUUUUAGUGGUUCUUUAUAUAUUCUGGAUACCUAUUCUGUGUUUAUUAAAUGUGUGACAAGUAUCUAUUCCAAGUCUAUGGUCUAUAUUUUCACUUUUUAAAUGAUAUUUUGAUGUCCUGAGCACUUUGUGUUUUUUGUUGGUUUUUAUAGUCAAA